AAAGCAUGGCUUUGUUUGUCUGAUAUUUUACAAUACAUUCAAACUAUUAAAAAACUGAUUAUCAUCCUCUUCAUAUCUAAUACUAUCUUAUCUAAGUUUUUACUAUCUCUCUCGACUUUGUUCUCAGAGUUCUGGUCAGGCGAUGGAACUUGCACGAAGCAAAUUAUUCAUAAUUUCAAUUUUAUAAAAGUUAAAGUGAAAGUCGCUACGCUAUUGGUUCAAUUACGAAAAAUUUGCCGCGAACUGACGCAGAAACCCAAUGUGAUGCUUCUGCGUAACAUUAUUUACGUCAUCACUGCUUCAUGUGGUAGCAAUCGCAAUUUCACGACAGCCUGAACAUUGCCAGGUUCUCGUGGUCAGUUACUUCUUGCUUGCGAGAACGUUUGUUCACGUCUUUCGUUUCAAUUUACCGAAUUCACUUUUACGUAGAAUAAACUUUUUACUGCAAAUUACUAGUGAAAUUAAUUUUAUCUAAACACUCUUUUAUUUUACAGGAACAUUGUACAAACUCUGGAUGCCAUGUGGUACGAACGAUUCUUCAUAUCAGUCCUUUUUCACUCCUGGAUGAAGGAAGCAUUAAAUACCUCUUCUCCGCUGGAAUCAGAGGCAGAUUUUGCUAUUGCUAAGGGAAUGAUUCAUGACAAUAAAAUGAUUGGCCAACAAAUCCUGAUGCCAUCGAAACAACAGUGUGUACAAUGGUAUCUCCCGCUUUCCCUGGAUUUCUUCAUUUCUGAUUAGCUGUUGUCAUCUUCACCUUGCAGCGUUAUGCAGUUAAUUUUGUAUCGUUGAUUGAGAGCAACUGGAAGUUAUUUGGACCCCAUUAAAACAAUGAAUCAUCUGCAAUGGAAUCGUUCUUCCUGAAUACGGUUUGCUGUUGCACUUGCAAACUUUCGAGAGUUACAUUCUGCAGUUAAUGAAGAUCAACGGUGGAGAAGACCAAGAAGAUUCCGUAGUUAGAGUGCUUUUUAUUCGAUUUCAAUCAAGUUAUCAUUUUGCAUGUUUUUUAUUUGAAUUAAUUUUUUAGUUUGCAUGUCUUUUGUGUUGAUUAUUUUAUUUGAAUUCAUUUUUGAUUUUAGAUGUUUUUAUUUUUUGAAGUAGUUCUUAGUACUAACAUGUUCAUUUUUUUGUAGAGAGUCUAACAUAUCUCUUGCUUACCUCUUCGCUUAGCUUACUGCAUAUUCUUACUAUAAAUUGCUUUGCAUUUACCCUACGAGUUCUAC